rnacentral:rRNA from 1 species
GGGUUGUGAGGUUAAGCGACUAAGCGUACACGGUGGAUGCCCUGGCAGUCAGAGGCGAUGAAGGACGUGCUAAUCUGCGAAAAGCGCCGGCGAGGUGAUAUGAACCCUUGACCCGGCGAUGUCCGAAUGGGGAAACCCAGUGCAAUUCGUUGCACUAUCGUUAACUGAAUACAUAGGUUAACGAGGCGAACCGGGGGAACUGAAACAUCUAAGUACCCCGAGGAAAAGAAAUCAACCGAGAUUCCCCCAGUAGCGGCGAGCGAACGGGGAGUAGCCCGGAGUCUGAAUCAGCUUGUGUGUUAGUGGAACGGUCUGGAAAGUCCGACGGUACAGGGUGAUAGUCCCGUACACGAAAGCACACAUGCUGUGAACUCGAAGAGUAGGGCGGGACACGUGGUAUCCUGUCUGAAUAUGGGGGCACCAUCCUCCAAGGCUAAAUACUCCUGACUGACCGAUAGUGAACCAGUACCGUGAGGGAAAGGCGAAAAGAACCCCGGCGAGGGGAGUGAAAAAGAACCUGAAACCGUGUACGUACAAGCAGUGGGAGCCUCUUUAUGGGGUGACUGCGUACCUUUUGUAUAAUGGGUCAGCGACUUAUAUUCUGUAGCAAGGUUAACCGUAUAGGGGAGCCGAAGGGAAACCGAGUCUUAACUGGGCGUUAAGUUGCAGGGUAUAGACCCGAAACCCGGUGAUCUAGCCAUGGGCAGGUUGAAGGUUGGGUAACACUAACUGGAGGACCGAACCGACUAAUGUUGAAAAAUUAGCGGAUGACCUGUGGCUGGGGGUGAAAGGCCAAUCAAACCGGGAGAUAGCUGGUUCUCCCCGAAAGCUAUUUAGGUAGCGCCUCGUGAACUCAUCUUCGGGGGUAGAGCACUGUUUCGGCUAGGGGGCCAUCCCGGCUUACCAACCCGAUGCAAACUACGAAUACCGAAGAAUGUUAUCACGGGAGACACACGGCGGGUGCUAACGUCCGUCGUGAAGAGGGAAACAACCCAGACCGCCAGCUAAGGUCCCAAAGUCAUGGUUAAGUGGGAAACGAUGUGGGAAGGCACAGACAGCCAGGAUGUUGGCUUAGAAGCAGCCAUCAUUUAAAGAAAGCGUAAUAGCUCACUGGUCGAGUCGGCCUGCGCGGAAGAUGUAACGGGGCUAAACCAUGCACCGAAGCUGCGGCAGCGACACUAUGUGUUGUUGGGUAGGGGAGCGUUCUGUAAGCCGUUGAAGGUGUGCUGUGAGGCAUGCUGGAGGUAUCAGAAGUGCGAAUGCUGACAUAAGUAACGAUAAAGCGGGUGAAAAGCCCGCUCGCCGGAAGACCAAGGGUUCCUGUCCAACGUUAAUCGGGGCAGGGUGAGUCGACCACUAAGGCGAGGCCGAAAGGCGUAGUCGAUGGGAAACAGGUUAAUAUUCCUGUACUUGGUGUUACUGUGAAGGGGGGACGGAGAAGGCUAUGUCAGCCGGGCGACGGUUGUCCCGGUUUAAGCAUGUAGGCGGAGGUUCCAGGUAAUCCGGUACCUUUUAACGCUGAGGUGUGAUGACGAGGCACUACGGUGCUGAAGUGAUAAAUGCCCUGCUUCCAGGAAAAGCCUCUAAGCAUCAGGUAACACGAAAUCGUACCCCAAACCGACACAGGUGGUCAGGUAGAGAAUACCAAGGCGCUUGAGAGAACUCGGGUGAAGGAACUAGGCAAAAUGGUGCCGUAACUUCGGGAGAAGGCACGCUGAUGUGUAGGUGAAGCCCCUGCGGGUGGAGCUGAAAUCAGUCGAAGAUACCAGCUGGCUGCAACUGUUUAUUAAAAACACAGCACUGUGCAAACACGAAAGUGGACGUAUACGGUGUGACGCCUGCCCGGUGCCGGAAGGUUAAUUGAUGGGGUUAGCGGCAACGCGAAGCUCUUGAUCGAAGCCCCGGUAAACGGCGGCCGUAACUAUAACGGUCCUAAGGUAGCGAAAUUCCUUGUCGGGUAAGUUCCGACCUGCACGAAUGGCGUAAUGAUGGCCAGGCUGUCUCCACCCGAGACUCAGUGAAAUUGAACUCGCUGUGAAGAUGCAGUGUACCCGCGGCAAGACGGAAAGACCCCGUGAACCUUUACUAUAGCUUGACACUGAACACUGGUCCUUGAUGUGUAGGAUAGGUGGGAGGCUUUGAAGCGUGGACGCCAGUCUGCGUGGAGCCGCCCUUGAAAUACCACCCUUUAAUGGCUGGUGUUCUAACGUGGACCCGUAAUCCGGGUUGCGGACAGUGUCUGGUGGGUAGUUUGACUGGGGCGGUCUCCUCCCAAAGAGUAACGGAGGAGCACGAAGGUUGGCUAAUCCUGGCCGGACAUCAGGAGGUUAGUGCAAUGGCAUAAGCCAGCUUGACUGCGAGCGUGACGGCGCGAGCAGGUGCGAAAGCAGGUCAUAGUGAUCCGGUGGUUCUGAAUGGAAGGGCCAUCGCUCAACGGAUAAAAGGUACUCCGGGGAUAACAGGCUGAUACCGCCCAAGAGUUCAUAUCGACGGCGGUGUUUGGCACCUCGAUGUCGGCUCAUCACAUCCUGGGGCUGAAGUAGGUCCCAAGGGUAUGGCUGUUCGCCAUUUAAAGUGGUACGCGAGCUGGGUUUAGAACGUCGUGAGACAGUUCGGUCCCCUAUCUGCCGUGGGCGCUGGAGAAUUGAGGGGGCUGCUCCUAGUACGAGAGGACCGGAGUGGACGCAUCACUGGUGUUCGGGUUGUCAUGCCAAUGGCACUGCCCGGUAGCUAAAUGCGGAAGAGAUAAGUGCUGAAAGCAUCUAAGCACGAAACUUGCCCCGAGAUGAGUUCUCCCUGAGACCUUGAGUCUCCUGAAGGAACGUUGAAGACGACGACGUUGAUAGGUCGGGUGUGUAAGCGCAGCGAUGCGUUGAGCUAACCGAUACUAAUGAACCGUGAGGCUUAACCUUACAACGCCGAAGGUGUUU